rnacentral:rRNA from 1 species
UACGGAGGGUGCGAGCGUUGUCCGGAAUCACUGGGCGUAAAGGGUGCGUAGGUGGUCUAUUAAGUCAGUGCUGAAAUAUCCCGGCUUAACCGGGAGGGUGGCAUUGAUACUGAUGGACUUGAGUAGAGUCGAGGUAGGCGGAAUUGACGGUGUAGCGGUGAAAUGCUUAGAUAUCGUCAAGAACACCUAUAGCGAAGGCAGCUUACUAGGCUCUAACUGACACUGAGGCACGAAAGUGUGGGGAUCAAACAGG